CCAAGAUGGCGGCAGUAUUCGGGUAUUCGGCGAAGAGGCAUUGACAAUAACGUGUACAGUCAGUUUUUACAGCAUGUAUCUUCGUCCGUGAUAUCUGGCUUGUUGUAACAGCCGUUACCCAGUCGGACUCAACGAAAACACGGACGCCGGAUUUUAGGGAAUUCGACUAAGUGUCUGCUUUGCCAAACCAACUGAAAUGUAGCUGCAUAUUUGAUGGACAGAUGGAGAAGGUGUUCUGUUGUACGCGUCAAGACAA